GUUAUAGAUUUUCUUUUUGAUAAAUCUUCUGUGCCUGUUUUGGCCUCCAAGGCCUCCAUAUAUAAGUGAACGGAAAAAAUCUUUAAUUUUUAGAUUUGGAUGAAACUCGUUGUACACUCUACACCUAAGUAGCUCGAUGGUAAAGCUUAAGUAGCGAUAUUACUUUUUUUCAAGAGUUUAAAUUGGUUGCUUUAUUACCAGAAUUUAGGUACCAUGUGUUUGUAUUUACAGCAAGCGUGAAAGAGUACGGCAACCCCGUCAUCGACGCUUUAGACAGUAGAAAGGGCGCUACGUGAAAGUUCCUUUUUUCAGAUUUGUUAUAUAUAGGUUUACACAAAUUGAAACUUAAGAGAUUCAUGUGGUCCGAAAUUUACGAAAAACAUCAGUCUGGUUGAUCCGGAUAUGUAGCUAUAGUUGAUAAUUCGCCGUUAGCUUAUGCAGAGACCUUUGAAAACGCCAUUCCUAUAAGCGAUUGGUUCAGCGAUCCAAAAGGUAAGCAGCUUCUGUGCUUAAUACCUUUUUUAAAAAUCUUGUGCUCUGUGAGAGAUGUUCGCCUGGUACUUAAAUGGAAAAAGGAAUUUAAAAAAAAAUGGAAAAAUAAUUUUUACACACAUGUUUUGCGGACUUGUCAUUUUAAAACUUCAAUUUUUACUUUGUUAUAAAAAUCUGUAAGGCUGGAAGCGUCUAGUUCUUUUAAUUUU